CCUACGGGAGGCAGCAGUGGGGAAUAUUGGACAAUGGGCGGAAGCCUGAUCCAGCAACGCCGCGUGAGGGAUGACGGCCUUCGGGUUGUAAACCUCUUUCAGCGCAGACGAAGCGAAAGUGACGGUAUGUGCAGAAGAAGGACCGGCCAACUACGUGCCAGCAGCCGCGGUAAU
rnacentral:rRNA from 1 species